ACUGUGUCCACCAGAGGGUGUGUGUGUUUGUGUGUGUGUGUAUUUUUUUUUUAUUUGAAUAAAGAAAAUUUUAUAAGCUAUCAGCAGCCUUGAGUAAAUAAGCAUGUAAGGUUGGCCUGUUAGUGGAGCAGAAAAAAGGCUAACAUAAUUGGAGUGCAAAAAGUAAGGGGAAUAUAGUAGUACAAGGUGAAGCUAAAGAUAUGGGCAGGGGCCAGACCUUGUGGGCUUAUGUGAAGAGUUUGGAUUAUAUUCUAAGUAUUAUAAAAAGAGGCCAUUGGAAAGUCUUAUUUGAGGGAAGAUAUCAUUGUAACUAUGUCUUUAAAAUAUUACCCGGACAUGUAAAGUGGAAGAGAGAGCCUUAUCAGGACAAAAAACUUAACUCCCACAUUAUUCCACCCUCUUAUCCAUCCUCCCCUUGUCCUGAUCUGAAAGAUUUCUGGUUCUAACUUUCAAUGUCCUUGACUUCUCUACUAAUAAUCAAAACGGGCCAUAACUAGAAUCCUGUAGCACCCCAUGUCAAAAGAUUAAAAUGUAAAGACUCUAGGGAACAUACCUUUUCCACCUUUUCUAUCAGUAGCCUGGAUACAUGGCUUCUUUGACAGCCAUAUUCUGAUUCCAGGUAAAUGAAAGAAAUGAACAGAAGCCAUUUUUUUUUCCCGAAAAGCUGACCACAUUAAUAAAUUCAAGCAACCCUGGUCAACGUGGUGAAACCCUGUCUCCCCUAAAAAAUACAAAAAUUAGCCAGGCAUGGUGGUGCAUGCCUGUAGUCCCAGCUACUUGGGAGGCUGAGGCAGGAGAAUUGCUUGAACCCAGAGAGGGGAGGUUGCAGUGAACCAAGAUCGCACCACUGCACUCCAGCCUGGGCAACAGGGCGAGACUCCGUCUCAAAAAUAAAUAAAGAAAGAAAUUCAAGCAGUGACUGAAGGAAAGUGGUAGGUCUGACUGAAGGAAAGGGGUAGGUUUGACUAUAAUUUGGGCAAGUUUACUUCCUAAUUCUGUGUUUUUGUUUGAUUGUAAGAUUACUACUAUGAGGCAUAACUGAUACUAGCAUAUAAUAAGGUUUUCCAGUACAAUUAUAUUGGUAAGGGAAUGUCGAGGAGCUUCUUUUGAAACCAUGGCAGGUUGGCAAAUUGGGGUACCUGGUAUUGUGAAACACCAAGGCCAUCAAUGAAGCCUGAAGUAGAAAAAUUAUCUUGUCAUCACCUAAAUGAAUCAGGAUUGAAAUGCAUUAAAAAAGUUUAUUUUGUGAAAAGAAAGCAUUAGAUUGUAGGAUUUAGGGAUUACUUAACGGCAUUUGCUGCCAUCUAAGAAAACCAAUUCUUUUUUUUUUUUUCUAAAAUGAUCAUGAGCUUUAUAAGAAGACCUGGACAGGUAUUUUUAGACCUAAAGUUUCAUAGUGUCAAAGAAUUAGAAAUGGAUGAUGGCUUUUAGAGAAAAGUAAAAUACGACAUAAGAUAUUUUAGACCUAACAACAGAGCAGAAGAUUUUAGUGAUCUGCUCUUAGUCAUGAGGGAAAAAAUGAAAAACAAACAAAACAAAAGCAAGUACACGUUAAAUUCUGUGGGUCUCAAGUCUCUUGCUUUUCUUCUUUUCCUAACUAUAUUGUAAAAGAUCUGUGCCAAUAAAGAAGUCCUGUUUAAGGAGUAGUUCCCUGUUAACAUAGGAAAGAUGAUCGUGUUGGCAGGUCUAUAUUCAAAAUUUUAAUGGAUUCUCCACCCCUCUGCAUGAGGAGAGAUAAGAAACAGAUAGGGGUCAAAUAGGCUUAACAAUGUAAUAACUAGCAGAACCCUGUUGCAUAAGAGAAAGAACCCAGACUGGGUACUCCAAAGUGAACAGAUGUGGCUGGUUAAUUCAGUUGCCCUGACCAAGCAAUAAAGGGAAUUAAACCUGGCACGUUUCAUUACACGGAGUAUCCUCACACCCACUCUUCUUUCCAGAUUCAACGCUGCUUAGAGUCUAAGACUGAUCAUCAGAGACCGGGGUGAAACCAAACACUAUCAAUCCCAGAAGUGACAUUUCACCUUUUGCCCUAAAUAAAUGCAUUUGUGAAUUCAGAAAGCUUCUGCUGUGUCUCUACCUAAAUUAAUCCCCCUUUAAAAGGAUACAUAUAAACUGUUGUCUUUUUGCUUUAUGGUUUGGCUGCCUGUUAAAAAGGUUCUAAAAAAUUUAUAUAAACCAUCAUGCAAACCUGUUCUCUAGCUCUAACAGAAGGCUUUCUUGGGUGC
rnacentral:lncRNA from 10 species